rnacentral:rRNA from 1 species
ACGGAAGGCAGCAGUGAGGAAUAUUGGUCAAUGGGCGGAAGCCUGAACCAGCCAAGUCGCGUGAAGGAUGAAGGUAUUAUGUAUUGUAAACUUCUUUAGAUGCAGAGAAAUAAGCCCCUCGCGAGGGGUGAUGCUAGUAUGCAUAGAAUAAGGAUCGGCUAACUCCGUGCCAGCAGCCGCGGUAAUACGGAGGAUCCGAGCGUUAUCCGGAUUUAUUGGGUUUAAAGGGUGCGUAGGCGGCCCCUUAAGUCGGCGGUGAAAUUUCCGGGCUCAACCCGGUCACUGCCGUCGAAACUGGGGGGCUUGAGUGCGUUUGGGGUGGCUGGAAUGUGCGGUGUAGCGGUGAAAUGCAUAGAUAUCGCACAGAACGCCGAUCGCGGAGGCAGGUCACCAAGCCGCAACUGACGCUGAGGCACGAAAGCGCGGGGAUCGAACAGGAUUAGAUACCCUGGUA